rfam:Oryza sativa (indica cultivar-group) chromosome 6, whole genome shotgun sequence.
AUCCCAUGGUGAGGACAUACCAGGAUGUAUUCAUGGAGUCUCCCCCAUGCCUCUGGUAUUGAAUCAUUGGUUGCCUGCUAGAAACUCGAGAUCUUUCCAUGAAGGGU